GACGAACGCUGGCGGCGUGCUUAACACAUGCAAGUCGAACGGUGAAGCGCCUUCCUUUUUGGUGGGUGUGGAUGAGUGGCGAACGGGUGAGUAACACGUGAGUAACCUGCCCCCUUCUUCUGGAUAACCGCAUGAAAGUGUGGCUAAUACGGGAUAUUCUGGGUCUGUCGCAUGAUGGGUCUGGGAAAGAUAUUGUUUCGGUGGGGGAUGGGCUCGCGGCCUAUCAGCUUGUUGGUGGGGUGAUGGCCUACCAAGGCGGUGACGGGUAGCCGGCCUGAGAGGGUGGACGGUCACACUGGGACUGAGACACGGCCCAGACUCCUACGGGCGGCAGCAGUGGGGAAUAUUGCACAAUGGGCGCAAGCCUGAUGCAGCGACGCCGCGUGAGGGAUGGAGGCCUUCGGGUUGUGAACCUCUUUCGCCAGUGAAGCAGGCCUGCCUCGUUUGUGGGUGGGUUGACGGUAGCUGGAUAAGAAGCGCCGGCUAACUACGU
rnacentral:rRNA from 1 species